rnacentral:lncRNA from 1 species
CAUCACAGAACAGGCAGAGGCAGUUCAGGGGUAUUCUGGUUGCCUUACCCAGCUCUGAAGUCUGUCAGCCUCUUCAGAUGUCACUUGCCAUGUGGUAAGGAAGUGUAGUCAGCAGCUGGUGCAGUGGGAAGAAGAGAAAGGAAGUUCCCCAAGACAAAAACAUCUCGGCAGACUUCAUCAUGAAUUCAUGGCAUCACACAGUCCCCUGAUGCUAUAACAUCAUGGAUUUCUUUUGUCCAGUGAGAGGCCCAAAAGCUGCAGCAUAGACAAUAUCAUAGUGUAGAAGGUUCACUAGACCGUGAUCAUGGGCUACAUUCUCCGUACCAGCUUCAUAGCUCCAGUGAGAAAAUAAAUUCCUGCAUCCAGGAGAUGUGGAGUAAGAGAUACAGCUGCCCUUGACCAUAUUUCUUACUUCCGAGAAGAUCGUAGCAGUAAUUCAGAAUCUCAUCCAGGAUACCUCAUCACAGGCUGGAGUGCAGUGUCAUGAGCUUGGCUCACUACAGCCUCCAUCUUCUGUGCUUAAGGAUCCUUCCCUCUCAACCUCCAAGGUAGCUGAGACUACAGGCAACAUUCGAAACCCAGGUGCCACUCCUUCAGGAAGGUACCAUCAAGCUCCAAGGACUCAUCCUCUUUCUCCUUCCCCACUACCUAGUCAUUAGAGCGUCAGCAUCCACUUCCUGAAAGGAAGAUGCCUGUUUUUCACAUAUCCCAGAAAGCCUCAUUUUAGGACAGCAUUUAGCAGAGUGUAUUCAGGAUCCCACUAACCUUUUCGGAAGACAUGACUUCCAGAUGAUAUAAGGCAAGAAUAAGAAAUUUCAGUGACAGGGAACAGAAAUCAUAUUUCUGCAUUCAGGAUCAUGUUUUCUUGGCUCCAUCAGGAACUGUGCAGGACUGUGCACUCUGUUGAUACUCACAUGGUGGAAUUAUAUUGCCCUUGGCCAACCCUAAAGCCAUCAAGAUAGCAGCAACUACUCUAUCAUUACUGUACCACCACCUGUAUGGAUCUCGUUGCCCAUAUGAAACUGAGUAAGGAACAAUGUGCAUCACACUCACAGAGAAAGAUGGACAAGUUUGGAAUAAUUCACUGUCGAAGUCUUCUUGAGCUGAGCAGUCAUGUGAGCUUGGAAGAUGAUCCCUCUCCAGCUGAUCCUUCAGCUCAGGCCAUCAUCUACAUCUGGAUUCCUGACCCGGAGAAACUAUGAGUAAUGUGUGCUGCUUUUGAGCCACUAAGCUACAUGAAUUAAUGAAGGAUCAUUAUUAAGUUUUUAAUGGGUCAAGAGAAAGUUACCACUGAGGUCUUCUCUACCUGGGCAACAAUUGACUCCUAACAACCACUAUAAGCUUGGAAGAUGAUCCCUCCCCAGCUGAUCCUUCAGGUCUCUACUUUUUGUAGCCUGGGGAUUUUCUACUCCCCCAACAGCCAGAUGAGGCAGAAACCCCUACAGACAUCCCUAUGUGCCUCCUGUGCAAGUGCAGUUGCCCCUUGAAGGCAGUUCUCCUGCUGCAGACCACGCCCACCAAGGGCAGAGUCACAGCCACUGCAGCUGAGCUCAGAGCCUUCUGUGGGGUCUGCAGGGGCAAGGCCAGCUGUCCCCUGGGAUAGUUUGAAGAAUGCAGUUUGUUUGUAUAAUAAAGAUGUUUCUCUACGUCAUUCAUCUUGCUAAUCAAGGACGUUUAACAGCUUCAGACUUUCCUGGUAAUAUUUGUUCUUGCCUUUUUUUGGCAAAUAUAGUUAACACUUCUAUGCAUUUUUUACCUCACAUAAACAUCAUCUAAAACCAUUCAUAUUUCUGUAUUGCGUAUUAAUGCUUUUCAUUCCUGUAUAUAAAAAUGCAUUCAUAAUCGCUUUUCAAAAUACAUUUUCAGUUACCUUUUC